UUCCAGACUCCUACGGGAGGCAGCAGUGGGGAAUAUUGCACAAUGGGCGAAAGCCUGAUGCAGCAACGCCGCGUGAAGGAAGAAGGGUUUCGGCUCGUAAACUUCUAUCAACAGGGACGAAAGAAAUGACGGUACCUGAAUAAGAAGCCCCGGCUAACUACGUGCCAGCAGCCGCGGGAAUACGUAGGGGGCAAGCGUUAUCCGGAUUUACUGGGUGUAAAGGGAGCGUAGGCGGUGAUGCAGGUCAGAAGUGAAAGCCCGCAGCUCAACUGCGGGACUGCUUUUGAAACUGUAUGACUAGAGUGCAGGAGAGGUAAGUGGAAUUCCUAGUGUAGCGGUGAAAUGCGUAGAUAUUAGGAGGAACACCAGUGGCGAAGGCGGCUUACUGGACUGUAAAUGACGCUGAGGCUCGAAAGCGUGGGGAGCAAACAGGAUUAGAUACCCCAGUACA
rnacentral:rRNA from 1 species